rnacentral:rRNA from 1 species
UACGUAGGGGGCAAGCGUUAUCCGGAUUUACUGGGCGUAAAGCGCGUUAAGGCGGUUGGCAAAGUUGGUUGUGAAAUCUCAGGGCUCAACCCUGAAAUUGCGACCAAUACUGGUCGACUAGAGUGCAAGAGAGGAAGGUGGAAUUCCCGGUGUAGUAGUGAAAUGCGUAGAUAUCGGGAGGAACACCAGUGGCGAAGGCGGCCUUCUGGCUUGCAACUGACGCUGUAGCGCGAAAGCGUGGGGAGCGAACCGG